GCGGCGGCAGGCGGGGUGCCCGCGGCUCGGCUCAGCUCGGCGGACAGCUCCCACCAUGGACGCCUAGGUUGUGUUUCCUAAUAAUCGACCGCUGCUGCCUAUUUGGAAGGUUGCUUUUGAAGACCAACUAUGAUACACAUUUUUAAUCGACUGAUCUUUGAUAAGAGGGUUGAGAAACUUAAGGAAAGAAAAAUGUUCUCCUUGCACGUGUUGAAGAGUACUACACACCAAAGAGACAAAUAUUGGAGAAGUGAACACAUUUAAUAAUCAUCCAAAGGAAAGAGAAAAAGCACCAAAAAAACCAGAGCACAAAAUCCCACUGUAUGUCAUCCAGUGCUACUGCAUCCAGAGAGGGACUCCGGCAAGAGCAAAUGCUAGUUCCUGGGAGCUGGGAAGAUAUGAUGUUCCACAAGUAGCUGUCUCCUUGUCUCUCUUUCUCUCAAGAAUUUUUGUUUGGUUGUUUUUUUCUACUUCUUUUGUGAGAACAUGGCAGCGGAGAAGGACUAAACAGACGACUCCAGGAACUGGGUGCAAGCAGGUCAACUUAUAUUGUUUUCAUGCUAUUUAAUGAAAAACAGACCAGCUGCCAGAUAAACACAGGUGAGAAAGGGGGUAGGUGACACGCUGCCUGUGCUGGCAGGUGAGUAAUGACUGCCGGUGUGUGAUCCUGUGGUCUGAAGACUUUCCCAGAACAGGCUUUUCUUUGGUGGACCACAAGCCCUUUUCUGAAGUUGAACGCUGGGGGACCAGAGCACACUCUGUGACUACAGCACGUGUUCAAAGCAGCAUGCACAGCUGAAAUGAGGUGCAAAAUGUUUAUGCUUAGUCAUUAGGUCUUUGCUAGUACCCAGCGAUGAUUUAACAGCUCCUGGGUAAACACUGGUACUUCAAAGAAUGUUUGUGCUAAUUUGGCUUUGGAAAUGAGAAGACAGGUAAGUUGCAUGACCUCCGCUGAGGCAUCUUUUGAUAUCCUGCAUUAAUACUGGGGUUUGAUGAUUGUUCAUUUUUCCAUCUCAAAGGGAAUCCUCAGUAAUGCCUUAUUCUGCCUGCCUGCAGGCUCAGUUUCUCACUUGUGCAGGUGAAGUAUUCAUUGCAUACAUUAGGGAACAAAGCUGAGCCACUUUUUGUAACGCCACAAGUGGGACAGAGUAAAAUGUAGAAGAGGAAUCAGUCGUGUAUUCACAGGUAUUAGAUGUGCUUGAAAUGCGAGCAUGACUUUCAAGAAGUUUAAGUUAAUAUUCCUAAAAUUACUCCAAUGUCUUUUCUGUGCAAAUCCGUGUUUAUUGGUGGUAUACUGCUGUAUGUGCCUACAGUGCAAAGUACCUAUAGAUAAGGAUCUACAAGUCCCAGACUUCUGGGUCAUCUGUAGUCAUCAAUGGUGAUGUCUCAAUAAGCUUUCUGGCUUUUUAUGU